GUGGAAUGGCGACAGUACGAGAUGAAUGCAAACCACGCAACGCAACUACUUGUAUAUAAGCACUUCCACGCUUAGGCUUGUUGAGAUCGGGGCGCACUAGCAGAAAGAAGAAUUUGUUGAGCUGUUCGUCUCUGUACCGUUCAGUAUCCCUCUUUCCUACCUUUCGGGUACCCGUGUGCUUAUUAAGCUUUAGAUCGGCUUGAGCUGCUGAUUCUAGUUUGAGGGGUCGACCAAUGCGUUCCAAUGAUGGUAUUAUAGCUUGGAGGCAGUUAAAACUGGUAGGAGGGGGAGAAAAAUCCCGGCCGCAUGAGUUCAUCGUUCACCGACCGACACCACCAAAUCCAAUGAAAUGAGAGAUCUGCACAAAUCUCUAAUAAUAAUAAAUGCAAGUAGAUAGAUUUUGUUAUUCUUAAUAAAACAAUGAUGCUGAUUGCUGAUAUUAAACACUUGAGUGAUCAGAUCGGGUAAUGAAUGAGUAGUUUCUAUUUAUUUAGAAUGGAUGGGCACUUUUUUUCUGUAUUUAAGUAAGAAGUAAGAAGAAUCUUCGUCGGGUACGGAGCAAUGAGCAUCUUCCGUUAACAUAUGUAAUAUGUAGAUGAUGAGAAUACUUGGCAUAUAUGUAUUUGACAGUAUUUGUACGACAAAUUUCAAGUCUGUGAAAUUAGAAAAUUUCCAGAAAAAUUAGAGAUGGAUUACGUUCGUUUAUGGCUGGACAACAAUCUUUUAUAUUGAAGGGUACUAUUGGUGUCUCGGUUUGCGGUUUGCUUACAAUUUAGGCUGAGACCUGACAAGCAACGUCAAGUCGGUUCCUUUCUGGUUUAAGGGUCGCGUCCUUUUGUUGUAUUGUUUUUGACACAUCACAACUAUGUAUCACACGCUGUUAAACAAAUCUGUUUAUAUAACUUCAAACUGUUUGGAGAUCAAUUGAUAAACAAUACAUAUCGUCGGUACACGUACCUUAAUGAUAUAAUAAAUAAAUAUAUACGAGGGCUUAAAAGAUUUUCAUUGCAAACAUGUAUAUAACGUAGAAAGUGAGAUUUAUUUAUAUAAAACUACACCAAUCAUAAUACAGUGAGGUUAAUAAUUAAAAGUAUUAAAUUAAAAAUUGGUCGAGCAGGGCCACAUUAACUAACGAAAGCAAGGUGGUUACAAUGUUAAUAUGAAAAG